GCAGCCGCCCCCGUCUCGCAUGCAACAACCUUGCGCGCAGCCCCAUGCCUCACGCCAGAUCCACCCCCGCAUGCAACAACCAUGCGCACAGCCGCCUCUGCCCUGCAUGCCUCGCGCCGGAUCUGCCGCCGGUCAACAACCAUGCGCCCAACAACCAUGCGCGCCACCAACUCCUACGCCGGAUCCGGCCUUCCGGUCCUCAUCCCCGUCGCCCAACAGCCAUGCGCGAGGCAGGCGCUGGAUCUGCCGCCUCCGUUCGCCAUCCAAAUACAGGCGGAGGUACCUGCCCAAUCCCCGUCGCCCUCCUCAAGAUAACCACAAGUCCACAACAGCUUGAGAGCUCCUCUCCGAUCCCGAUCCACCACCUGCAACUCUUCUUCUCUCCUACGAGUUCGUCAGACCGCUAAGGUAUGCUCCUCUUGAUAGUUGUCUUUUCACAACUGCCAUUACCACUUCAGAUGAAAGAUAUAAUUGGCCUGUUCCAUGGCCUGAAAGACUUGAUGUUAGCUAUGCAAGUGUACCUGAUGAUUCUGCUUCUAACAAAGAGAAGUUUGAAGCUGAUACAAAGUAUUGGAAACAGCUCAUUUCAGAAGUAUAUUUCAGUGACUUCCCAUUUAAUUGGUCAAGCAUCGCAAUGUAAUGGACAUGAAUGCUAGGUUUGGAGGGUAAGUUAAGGCAAAUUUCUAAUGCUUCUCGUAUAUAGUUAAAGUUAAUUUGUAUGACAUGAAUAUUAAUGCUUGUAGAGCACCUCACCAUAUCUUUCAAUUGUUUCUGAUACAUCUGGAGCACAAGGGGUUAUAAACGGAUGAUUUAACAUGGAUUUUUUGUACUCCAGUCUCCUUUUUUUAAUGGUUGGCAGCUCUGCCGAGCAUAUGUUGAUAAAGCAGGGUGCUGCCUUUCAAUCAUGUUGGCGUGGGCCGAAGCUAUAUCUGGAGCACCAGGAGUCCAGCCUCUGCUAUGCCCUCAAGGUGGCCCUCUUCUUCGAAAGGGUGCUUGUCAUGCCUACAAAGAUCUGCCUUAGUUCAGUGCACAAUACAAAGGGGGUCCUUCAUUCAAGCAUUGCAACUUCAUAACAAAGGUGAUUUGUCUAUGCUUGCAGACUGUCACAGGAAUUCCAUGGGCAUUCUUAAUAGAGCGGUGGUUUGUCUAUUUUUCGACUAGCCUCCACAGUUCUUGUCAACUCCAAAAAAAAUCCAGUAUUAAAUCAUAAUCCUAUGUUCUUCCAAAAUCCUGAAAUCUACAAAGAUCAUAGAUAGCCUUUGUUAUGUACAGAGACUUAGCUCAUGAAACUGUCACCCUGCGACUGUCCUUCAUAUCCUAGCAGUGCAAACUUCACUUGGAUCCUGACCUUCAUUCCCUCCUUCACAAGCUUCGUCGUGUUCACCAGCCAAUGGCCCAGGACGUCGUGUGGCCCUUUUACCACCUCCGAAAUGUCGACGAACAUGAGGAGCUUCCUGGACUAUAGCUGGAUCGGAGGUCAGGAUGUCAUAUGUGUUAAACAAAGUCAUUCUUCAACAGUUUCAACUACUAAUCUUAAGUUGCACCUGGAGAAUCUUAGCGAUUUUUACUUUCUGAUGGGAAGAACCACUCCCCAAUACUUCGGAAGGCAAAGGAUGGCAAGAGCACGGUACAACUCUUUUUGUAUUCAGUUUGCAUUGUCAUAUAUUGGGCCAAAAUUUCUCUAAGCUAAUCCAUUUCAUUACAGGUGCCUGAUGUUUUUGUCAGGAUAGUGCAGCAUUCUAAUAACCUGCAUCUUUCUAGCUACUCUGAAACAUCAAUCAAGGAUGUAUAUAUUUUUUUAUAUGACUUAGUAUCAAUUCGCUCUCUCUUGAUAUGGUGAAAAAAAUUAUAUGUCCGUUAUUCCAAAUAGGGCCUGACAGUUACCUGUUCGAAAAGGGGAGGAGAAGCAUACUUACCCAACCACUCCAAUAUUCCAAACAUGAUUGGAGACUCCAUGAUAUGUGUCCCAUAAGUCUUGAUAAACCUGAUAUUCACAAGGUUAGUAUGCUUUAUAUCAAAACAACAGUUUGUUGUAUUUAUGUGGUUUGGAAAAUUAAUUGCUAGGUAAGUUAUUAAUUCUGACAAAAAAUCCUUGGUCUAUGGUUCCCAGGUCAAGAAUUGCAAUAAGCAGAGUACAUAAAACUCAUGGUUGGUGUCAUCAAAACCAAAACAAAGAAACAUGGCAAACUAGAAAUUUAGAAAAUAACAUGUUCUUAAAGUAUUUAUAAGUGAGAGUCUCCAGAAUAUAGCAAUUGGUUAUUUGUAGAUGACAUUUUUCAUUCCUAGAUUAAUACCUUUUAUUAAUAGAGAGAAAGAAAAGGCUUUAUGAAUGCCUAGAAACCUAGGACUAAAGUAAAGAACAAAAUGACACAUCUAGAAACCUAUGUUCCAAGAGUUCACCUUCGAGCAGUUGCAGCUAGCAUCGCCUAAAAUACUUUUGUUUUGUUGUGCGUUCCUGUGUUAGGCUGCUAGGUUUACUACUAAAUGCAUAUCCAUGCCUUUUCAUUCAGCAUCUAUGUUAUUGACUUAGAAUCAGUUCAUGGCACAUUUAUCGAAAAUGAGAGAUUAACAAACGACAAUGUUGUUGAACUUGAAGUUGGACAGUGACUUUUGCGAAAGAACAUAGCUACUCUAUUCCCAAUUCCUAGCCUUUUAUAUCAGAUAAGCUACAAGAGGUCCUUAAAAGAGUGAAGAGCGCAACAAUACCUGGAUACAGUGACCUUUGUGGGGAUUCUGCUCCAGCAAAAGUGGGCUCAUCUUGGGCAUACAAAUCGGAUGAUCAACAUGUGGAGGAGAAGACACAUAGCAUGAAUUUAAACAUGAAUUCAACCGAUGACAGUGAUAAUAACUUGUCUGCUGACUUGUGAUUCAGAGUUGACAGUGGAUACAAACAAAUAUAUUCUUCAUAAUUUUGUGGUAGAGUUGUUUCAAUUGGUAGAUGCAUUUUGCUUAGUUUAUAAAUGAUUGUACCCUGCUGCAAAUCAAGGUAUGCACCCUUGAAAUUAGCGAUUUCAUUAGCUGUUUGAACUUGACAUUUUUGUUAUAACAACUUUUUUCUUAAAUCACACUAAUAUAUUUCUUUUAGGUCCAAGUCAACAAGAGUGACUAUGACAAUGUGAAGGUUGUCCUCUACCUCAAAGUGAAUAGGAAAGCAAACUAGGAUCUUUGAAGUCUUAAAAAAAUAUUAAGUUUCAUUCCACCAAAUUAAUUUUUGUGUAUCUUUCACUGUGUUCCUUUUCAAAAAUAUUGAGGCAUCAUUUCAAAGCAAGCAAAAAACUACUCCUAUUUAUAUGUGCAAAUAAGAGUGGCACUUUAUCCAUUAGCUCCCUUUGGGAGCUAAAGUUUUCACUGAUCUAUCUUGAAUCCGAGGCUAAUGAUUUCAUCUGUACACUGUACUGUUGGCUGCUAAAUUGUGGCUAUUUUUGUCCAAUUUCAUGGCCAAAUUUUGGUGAUGCUUUGUCAUUCUUUGAACAUAUACUUCACACUGUACCUCAGGCAACUAUUUUAUUCGUCGUAGUGGGAUGUCAACAUUACUGCUUUUGCAGUCAUAGAGGGACCUUUAUUAUAAAGUGGAACAAGAGGAGCUGGAGAAGCUCGCACGCAAGGGCCCCAGCUCAGGAGAGCAACCCUCGCCAACCACAGGCUCUGCAGCAAGUGAUGUGAAGGCCGAUGCUGGGCCAACGGAGUCAGCAUCUGCAAGUGUGUCGACCGACAAUAACAGAAACUAUGCUGUUCUGGCAGGCGCAGUUGCUGCCCUGGGUGGCCUGGGUUGGUAUCACGAUGUUGCUGGAGAAAGGCGCUGACGUUAACGCGCGCAACUACUGCGGCCAGGUCUUGAGUUCUAAGCAGCCUCUCCGCAUUUGUGGGGAAGGCCUAUCUCGGUUUAUCCCUUCUACAGACCCCACUUAUGUUGGAGCCUCUGACACUGGGUUUGCCCUCUUUUUGGUACUUCUGCACGGGGGAUAGGAAUUAUAUUUUUGUUCAUUCUUUAGUUUUUAUCUGUAUCAAAUAGUCUGUUGAUUGGUUGCUAUUGUUUUAAUGAUGGAUCAAGACUGCACUGAUGCAUGCGUGUCGGCAUGGGCACUAGGAGGUGGUGCAGAUGCUUCUUCUCUUCAGAUGCAAUGUUACUAGGGCAGAUUACUUGAGUGGUCGAACAUCACUGCAUUUUGCUACACAUGAUGGAUUUGUUCGGUGUAUUAGGCUUUUAGUUGCAGACUUUGUCCCGAGUGUGGCCUUGGAGGAUAUUGCUUCUUCUGUGGUGGAUGGUGGUGAUUGCCAGACAAACAGUGGGAGCAGUCCUAAUUCAUCGUCGGGGCAGAAGUUUAAUGAAUCGUAUGUGUUGUCAAUGAAUCUCAUUUUAUUAUUUGAAACAAUCACGAUUUAAAUGUAACUAAUUUUUUAGAAUAAUCACGAUUUAGUAUUCAUAUAAGUCAGCUUAUGAUCGUU